rnacentral:rRNA from 1 species
CACGUAGGGCGCAAGCGUUGUCCGGAAUUAUUGGGCGUAAAGAGCUCGUAGGUGGUUUGUUACGUCUGCUGUGAAAUCCUAGGGCUUAACCCUGGGCUUGCAGUGGAUACGGGCAGACUAGAGGUAGGUAGGGGAGAAUGGAAUUCCUGGUGUAGCGGUGAAAUGCGCAGAUAUCAGGAGGAACACCGGUGGCGAAGGCGGUUCUCUGGGCCUGACCUGACGCUGAGGAGCGAAAGCGUGGGGAGCGAACAGG